UGCAGUGGUAGAGAGAGGAAAACUCUGGUGGAGAGCGUUGACUCGGGCGGUGUCGCGGUGGAGGAUUUCUUCGUGGUUGGGGGCUUCCAAGCCGUGCAAGGGGGAGCAUGGACCGCGCCUCUGGACUACUGGUAACUUGUUGCUGUUAGAUCCUGCAAGUUAGGUAAAAAUAGUUACUAUUUCUAUAAAAUGAGUCAUGAAACUUAUAAUUGAAGUAGCAGAAGGAUUGUUGCCUUGGAAGCAGACUAUUUGCAGUUUCAUAUGCAAAAAAAUUCAACACACAGCCUACAUGAUAGUAAUCAAAAAAUUAUCCAAAAAAAUAGAAUUUAUGAACAUUGGAUCCUUGCCGUUGCCAUGCUAGCAUAACUACUAAAAUCGAAUAAGAUAUUCAAAUAUUAAUUACAGGAUCAUUGGUGCAAAGAAAUGAAAUUUAGUUGGGUACUAAAGCAACAGAUAAACAAAUCUAAGGACUAGAUUUCGAAGACAAACAUUGCUAGGAUUUAUGAAAAAAAAAAAACAAACAUAACCAAUAAACCAUCAAAAAGAAAAAUUGGUGGAAGUUAAUAAUGAUCAGACAAUGUGAAGUGUGGUAUAUUUAUGUUAGCCAAAAUUUGUCAAAUGGAGUCCUGUACCACUAGACGAGUGAACUUUAGAAAGACGACAACAAUACCAAACCAGGCUUAAAUAAACCUUGAAAAUAAGUACUAUUAUCAAAGCGUCGCACCUGAAAAGGUUGAGGGGCACGGGCUGUUCAAUGACUUUAGCAAGCUGAGGCGGAUCGCAUGAAAAUGUUUCCGUGUUUCUCCUGCAUUGAUGAGCGAACAAUCGAAGAGAACAGAAGAAACAAGCAAACAAAAGAGAAAGUGAAUGGAAUUAUUAGCCAUGGCAAAAGCAAUUUUACAACAGGGUUUUUUUUUAGCUUGAGAGAUACUUAGAAAAGUGUCUUUUAAAUACUGCUUGAUUGAGCCUAAGUAUUACAUUGUUUACCUCUCCAUUUUCCUUGUUUUUUACGUCUAAUACUUUAUAGGACAAUAAAAAAGGGGAUAUGUAUAUACAAUUUGGCACCAAUCAAAGUGUCUUAUGCUACAAUAACUAACAUUAAAUUUGCCUCUCUAAGAAGGCCGGCAUUAUUGCAUCAAGUUUCUUGUAUUAACUGCGCAAACAAUGUUUAAGAGAUUUAUGAAUUGUGGAUAAAACAAAGAGACAAUUUUUUUUUUUUUUUGAGUAAACAGGGUUAAACCCUAUUUGGGAGACAGUUAAACGAACAAAACAAAACGAAGAGACAAUUAUUUUAAUACAUACAAUAAACUUAGCUGUUGUUGCUUUUGUUAGUUAAUGCUGUAUCGUAUUUGUACAAUUCUAAUACAUCAUUUGAUGCUGAGAGAAUACAUACGCAUUUUUUUUUUAAGUUUGUAUGAUGAAAUUCAUCAGUUCUUUUUCUGAUGCUGAAGGAACGUAAACAUACUAUUUUUCAGUAUGUAAUUAGAAGUGUUAUUUCACAUUGUUUUUUUUUUUUUUUUCGCUUCAUUAUUUGAAUUCUACUUUUUCUAGUUCCUGGCCAUGUAAACUGUGAGUUCAAACUAAUAUAGAGAGUCACAUCAUGAAAAGUUACAUUAGGAGAGAAACUUUGAUUGACUUUUGUGCCCCAUUAUUUUCUUGUUUUAAUCUUAGUCGGCCCGAGUAACAGUUUUUUUCCUCCUUUUUGUAGUAUUAGUAGGCUAAAGGAGUUAAUUUUGUGGCAUUGAUUUGUUCUGUGGUGAUUAUAAUAUUUUUUUAGCAUUGUUCUUGAUAGAAAUGAUAAAAAAUUCGGAGUUUCUUUGUUACACAAGAGGCUGAAAUGAGUUUAUCAUCCUAGAAAAAAAAAAAAUUCCAGAAAAAUUAUUUGCCUCGCCGGUUGUUUUUGCUAUAGAAGGUUACUGGAAGGGUUAGCAAAUUAAACGUGACGAGCUCUAAAAUUAACAUGAUAUAAACCCAUUUAUUCCAAAAAUAAUUUGACAUGACAUAAUUAUCAAAUGAUCUACAUAUUUUGUACCAAGUUGUCUGUGUUACUUAAUAGAAGUUAUUCAAAUAAACACAAAUUAGAAUAUUCGAUUCUUUUUUUUUUUUUUUGGUUUUAAGUUGUCAUUGUGUAAAGUGUUUUGAAGUUUUAGCCCAUAAAAAUUGAAACAAAAAAUUAUGACUCUAGUGAUGAUCUAUUACUGAAAUGCUUGAAACAACAUGAAGAUCAACAACACCAGUACAUGGAAUUUAUUCUGCCACACCAUUUUCUUUUAUGUUUGACUCUUAUUCUUAUUUCCUGAUCAAUGAAAUUUUCUUUUCUAUAUCCUCAGCAUUCAGCAACUUGUCGGGCCGAACCCGAUCAUCGACCUGUCUAAAUCGUAGAUCACCUCCAUCGACCGCUGCUGCACAUUCCCUAUGAUCGAGAAUUCGCUGGCCUCACUUGUGGCCGUGAAUGCCAAACACCCCUGCGAUU
rnacentral:lncRNA from 1 species